rnacentral:rRNA from 1 species
GACGAACGCUGGCGGCGUGCUUAACACAUGCAAGUCGAACGGAAAGGCCCUGCUUUUGUGGGGUGCUCGAGUGGCGAACGGGUGAGUAACACGUGAGUAACCUGCCCUUGACUUUGGGAUAACUUCAGGAAACUGGGGCUAAUACCGGAUAGGAGCUCCUGCUGCAUGGUGGGGGUUGGAAAGUUUCGGCGGUUGGGGAUGGACUCGGGGCUUAUCAGCUUGUUGGUGGGGUAGUGGCGUACCAAGGCUUUGACGGGUAGCCGGCCUGAGAGGGUGACCGGCCACAUUGGGCCUGAGAUACGGCCCAGACUGCUACGGGCGGAAGCAGUGGGGAAUAUUGCACAAUGGGCGGAAGCCUGAUGCAGCAACGCCGCGUGCGGGAUGACGGCCUUCGGGUUGUAAACCGCUUUCGCCUGUGACGAAGCGUGAGUGACGGUAAUGGGUAAAGAAGCACCGGCUAACUACGUG